ACAGACAGCGCGCAGCAUCGCUGCGUGUGCAGGAACAGCGUCGCCCCCGGGUCCAUCCCGCGCCUGAAGUCGGCGUGCACCAGCUGCCCGUGAACCGUAUCCCGACGCCGCACCUGUGCAGCAUGACCUCACCGAUGCAAACGGCUGCCCACGCUGGAGACGGAAGGGGCCCACGCUCAUGCGCUCAAAAACGCACAGAAAGAUGAGGCAGUCUGCGGAGGGGAGACCGGGGCCUUGGUGCGGGGCGGCGGUGGAAGUGACAUCGGCACUGCGCAACACCGUGUCCCAGGAGUGUCCAGCGAGUCCCUGCUGAAUGGCUGUCCAUCUACCUCCUGCACUCCUUCCACAACCUGUGUGAGAGCUUGGCCUUUCCCAUGUACAGAGCACCAGUGCAGCUGACUGCGCAGGCAGCGUCCCAGCAGUUGGAGCUGCAUUUCCUGCGUAGGCUGCUGCGGCUGCAGCUGUACGCUCUCUCACAGACCAACCUGCAGGGCCAGAGGACGCUAUUACCCGCCCUGGCCCAGAAGAGUACAAACGGCUUUAACACAAAAAAAACAACUGCUCUGUACCUCACUAUGCACUCAGUCUCAACAGCAACUGCCACUUUCUUUUACAGCUACUUCCCAUAGAUAAUAAUAACUGCCUUCCUCUUUACUCUGCUGUACGUCUUGUCAAGCUCCCACUCCGGUCCUCACCGUGCUGUUCCACUGUACUGGCCCUCUGAGAGUGAACAUGCGUGAGGUGAAGGAAGAGCUGCUGCAGUGUUUGCUGCUCUGGGUUAGAGAGCUGAGGCGGCGCACUUCCCAGGGUCUACUGUACGGGGCUCAGACUAAGAUCGGUGUCUCGCACUGGUGAGCGCCGCACUUGGGCUCAGACACGAGCCGGGAGCUAUACAGCGUGCACUCGUUGCAUAUGCUCUUACACUAGUGCUCAACGGCUGUGUGAUACUCAGCUGAAGGUGUUGCAUGAUUUACUGCAAAUGCAGCAUGCAUGUUGUGCACAUGCACUCAUAGUUGUACUUAGUACUUGUAUUGUUAUGUUGUAUUCUCACAUGGGCAGAGUGAUAUAUUUUGGCUCUGUAAAUGCUCUCUGCUUCUGAUUUCUCAGUUUUAUUCUCUUUCAGUGUCCCACUCUCUAUCUCUCUCUGGCUGUCUCCUUCCUCUCUCUGCAGGUGGAAGCUGACUGCUCAGUUUGUUCUGCUAGAGUAGCAAUAGUGCGGACUGACUCUGCAGAAGUGGCUGCAUGCAGAGAUGGAGGCUAGCAGCCAAGGCCCUGGAAUGAACACAGGACAACCAGCACACACUUACAGACACAUAUACAUACCUUCAUAUGGCCAGCACACACUUACAGACACACAUACAUACCUUCAUAUGACCAGCACACUUACAGACACAGAUACAUACCUUCAUAUGACCAGUACACACUAACAGACACAGGUACAUACCUUCAUAUGACCAGCACACUU